GACGAACGCUGGCGGCGUGCCUAACACAUGCAAGUCGAGCGGGGACCGGGCUUCGGCUGGUGAGUAAAGUGGCGCACGGGUGAGUAACGCGUGGAUAAUCUGCCCUUAAGUGUGGAAUAACGUACCGAAAGGUGCGCUAAUACCGCAUAAUGCCUGGCAACACAAGUUGUCCGGCCAAAGAAGGCCUCUGUUUACAAGCUUUCGCUUCAGGAUGAGUCCGCGUACCAUUAGCUUGUUGGUGGGGUAAUGGCCUACCAAGGCUGCGAUGGGUAGCCGAGCUGAGAGGCUGAUCGGCCACACUGGAACUGAGACACGGUCCAGACUCCUACGGGAGGCAGCAGUGGGGAAUAUUGGGCAAUGGGCGAAAGCCUGACCCAGCAACGCCGCGUGAGGGAAGAAGGUUUUAGGAUUGUAAACCUCUGUCGCAGAUGACGAAGGAAGUGACGGUAAUCUGUGAGGAAGCCCCGGCUAACUACGUGCCAGCAGCCGCGGUAAGC
rnacentral:rRNA from 1 species